rnacentral:rRNA from 1 species
GCGUGGCGGCGUGCCUAAUACAUGCAAGUCGAACGCAUUUUCUUUCACCGUAGCUUGCUACACCGAAAGAAAAUGAGUGGCGAACGGGUGAGUAACACGUGGGUAACCUGCCCAUCAGCGGGGGAUAACACUUGGAAACAGGUGCUAAUACCGCAUAAUUNCAUUUACCGCAUGGUAGAUGGAUGAAAGGCGCUUUUGCGUCACUGAUGGAUGGACCCGCGGUGCAUUAGCUAGUUGGUGGGGUAACGGCCUACCAAGGCUGCGAUGCAUAGCCGACCUGAGAGGGUGAUCGGCCACACUGGGACUGAGACACGGCCCAGACUCCUACGGGAGGCAGCAGUAGGGAAUCUUCGGCAAUGGACGCAAGUCUGACCGAGCAACGCCGCGUGAGUGAAGAAGGUUUUCGGAUCGUAAAACUCUGUUGUUAGAGAAGAACAAGGAUGAGAGUGGAAAGUUCAUCCCUUGACGGUAUCUAACCAGAAAGCCACGGCUAACUACGUGCCAGCAGCCGCGGUAAUACGUAGGUGGCAAGCGUUGUCCGGAUUUAUUGGGCGUAAAGCGAGCGCAGGCGGUCUUUUAAGUCUGAUGUGAAAGCCCCCGGCUUAACCGGGGAGGGUCAUUGGAAACUGGGAGACUUGAGUGCAGAAGAGGAAAGCGGAAUUCCAUGUGUAGCGGUGAAAUGCGUAGAUAUAUGGAGGAACACCAGUGGCGAAGGCGGCUUUUCUGGUCUGUAACUGACGCUGAGGCUCGAAAGCGUGGGGGAGCAAACAGGAUAGAUACCCUGGUAGUCCAA